CCUUCCUUCCUUCUUUCCUUUUUGAGAGAAGGUCUCUCUGUAUGGCCCAGGCUGGCCUUGAACCUGUGAACCUCUUGACUCUUACCGAGUGCCGAGAUUGCUUAUGUGCACCACUGUGCCUGGCUUCCAUGAUCUCUAGAGACCCUUCCUAAAGAUUUUUUCUAUAUUACUACUAGCGACCAUGGGGACUUCCCUGGUCGGGGCAGCUGCUGGGGACUGGGGAGAUGUACAGAGGCUGUACAGAACUGGCCCUGCUCCUCACCGGCUACUGGGCUUUGGAGAGCUGGCCCCACCUCUUACCAUGGGCAACCCUGGGAAGAGUGAGCCCUGUGCUUUGCCUGAACAGUGCAGCAGAGUUGACCCUGGUGGUCGGGGUGCAGGGGAACCAGCACCAAGGGUGAGAGCAUGGAAGAGCUGGUCUGACCACUCCUCUGCCACAAGAUGGUGUGGGAUAGGGCAAUGCCCUUCCUUGCUUCCUCCCUUGCUACUUGGGGCAGUUGGGAGAGCUGGCCCUGGGAUCAUGAGAUCAAGUGAGCUGGCCCUACCUUUUUACUAGCUGCAGCACUCAGGAGAGUAAGCCUGUGUCCUUCUCACCUAGUAUGCUGACCCUGGUAGAGAGAGCAUGGGUGAACUGGCUUGAGCUAGCCUUUUUUCCUGCCAAUGAUGGCAUUGGGUAGCCUACCCAGAGCAGUACUGGAGAACUCACCUUGGUGGUGUGGAUAAGGAAAAGGUGACAGGCUGACCAGUUUAGUUACCACCCAGACCCAGAUCCAGAAUUCAGAGUUGGCCUGUCCCCAAAUCUAUGUUAUAUGUGAGCGGUUGGGCCAGUCCUGCUGACCCAAAACUGCAGGAUCUCCAUGACACAGGGCAACAGCAAGAUGAUGGGGAAGAGUCCCCAUGCUGGUCCAAUAUUGAUGGUGUUAUGGAAACCAAAGACCUUGAGAGGAUGGGGAGAUGAGGAGGACUGGGGUGCAUGAUGUGAAACUAACAAAAAAUCAAAAAGUUUUAAAAAACAAAAUAUAAAAAUGAAAGAUACAAGACUUCCAAACUGACAUUCACGGCCAUCAUCACCAUCACCACCACCAUCAUCACCAUCAUCAUCAUCUCUAUUGAUGUCAUUGGAUAUCAUGAUAAUCAUCACCACCAUCAUCAUCACGAUCACUAUCCUCUCCAUUGAUGUCAUUGUCAUCAUCAUUUGGUAAUUUCAGAAUCAUAGAAUCAUACAUCUCCCACAUGAGAGUCUUCUAGUGUGGGUGAUUCAUCUCAUGGGAAUCUGGCGUCAGUUCAGAAGAGACUACUUCUGGGUAUUUAGCAGCCAAGGCUAUGAUUUCAACAGCUGAAAACGGCGUGCCCACUAUAAUACAAUAUGUCAAAGCGAUCGUAAGUUUUAUAACAAUAAUAAUGUUAACUGUUAUAUCAUUUGACUGUGAAUUUCGCCUAGUAAUCUGGUCAGCACACAAAGUGAAUUGACACCACAUGCUGCAAAGAAAAUAAUCUACAAGGACCUUUCGGUAACCUGUCAGUCACUCUCCCAAUGGGCACGUUCAAAGCAGCUAAGGAUGUCUGUAGAGUGCUUCUUCAGAGAGCCCUUACAGAAGCUAGUCUGCUUUUGAUGGAUGAACACUUUCCCCAGGGCCAUGGAGUGACUAAUGCUUGGCCUAACAUCUGGUCCUCUUCGCAGCCAGUUUUCUUUUCUACAUAAAGAACCAACUCCUUCAUCCCACUCUGGAUUCCUUUCCAAGUUGCUGUGGGUCUCAUGGCCCUCACUGGCUGGUUUAGAUGAAUCAUCCAGCACUGAAGAGCUGUCACACACCCCUACUUAAGAGGAGAUCCCUGUAGAAUCUGCCUUCUCAGAAUCCUCUCUUUUUUAUGUUCGUUUUGCCUAAUCAAAGGGUCAGAAUUUUGCUUGUGCCUAUUCAUGAUGAUCUCCGAAACUUUAUCAGGACUUUAUCAGGAGGUUCAUAGAAAUGGCCUUUUAAUACAUUUAUUUUCUAAUAGAGAUAUGGAUAGAAUUUAAAAGUCAAAUUCAUUUGCUAGUGUCAAUAAUAGAGCCAGCCCAACUCUGGAACUCAACUUUUUACUCUUGCUUCCUGGUCCUCAAGGUAAACACUGUCUAGUCUUUCAAAUAUGUCUUCUAUCUCUUGGAAAAUAUAUUUUAUGUUCCUGUUUUCAAAUGUUCAGUUUCCUAUACUGUGUAUUGACUCUCCCUUCUGAAAUACAAUUUCUUAGCUCCUGACUUUGCACUCACUCUAAGGUACUCAUGUACACAACUCAUCCUGUCAUCCCUCAGGGCUGUCUAUCAGAUACCUGUUACUGCACACAAGUUACUGCAGAAGCUAGCGCCAUGAAGGAACAAACAUUUACUCUUGUCCUAUUGAUGUGGGACGGGGACAUGGAUCAUUUAACUGAGCAGUCCUGGUUCAGACUCCUCCAUGAACUUGAAGACGCCUGAGGAUUCUUAGUGCGUCUGCGAGCCCCUUUGACUUGUAAGGGACAUCCACAGGUUCCCAUCACUCUCCCCACUAUGACUGUGGGCUCAUCAGUCAUGUUCUGCAACAUGUGUCAGAGCCAAUCAAAAUCACGGCUCCUUUCUCUGCAGCUUUUCUAUUCUCUUUGGUGCUAAACUUGUGUCUCUUUCCCCAUGUGCUUACUUUUAGGGUUCUGAUCAUCAGUCCUUCCGUGAGCUGUGAACAAAGCCGGCAUUCGUCCCUAACCGUACCAGCUCCAUCCUCUCCCUAGCUAUAGUCCUCGAGUCUCUCUUCUUCCUGUUUGGAUUCGUCUCCAUGGGCUUACAGCACAGACACUGUCUUGGGAUUUUCCACCAUUCUUAUCCAAAGGUUUCAUUUUCCUAACACUUGCUUUUUACAUUUUGAUUUCUUUUUCCGUUAAUAGGUAUCGACUGCAUGUAUUAGUGGGGCCUGAUGUGAUGUUCAGCUCAUGCAUACAGCAUGUCUGUACCAGCUUGUCUCCUCAUCCCACUUUCCCUUCCGCCCACCCUAGCACUCUGGAAGUCACGAUUCAACUUUGACACUUUUAAAGUUUCCACAAACGAGAGCAUCCACAGGGUGGUAUGGUAUGCCCAUUGUGUGACAGGAAUCCAUUCGUCUUUAUGGCUAUGUAACAUUCAAUUACACACACACACACACACACACACACACACACACACACACACACACCACCUUCCUUCACCGAUUCCUGGGCAGUCAAGUUGACUCCAUAGCUUAGAUAACUGUAAAAAGGCACUUCGGUAAAUUACACAGGCACCGGCAUGCAGGUACCUGGUGUGUAGAUUUGUUUCCUCUGCACAUAUAGCCUGAAGUGAGGUAGUUGGAUCACAGGAUUUUCCACAGUGGCUGAACCAACUUACAUUUUUCUGCCAGCAGUGUUUGAGAGUUCUGUAUCUUCACCAGCAUUUACCCUUCUAACCUUUUGCCAAUAACCACUUUACCGGGAAUGAGAUGGUACCUCACCAUCGUUUUGACUUUCAUUUCUCUGAAAUUUAAAAUUGGAUAUUUAAAAAUACCACUGUUGGUCAUUCUGCAUUUCUUUAUUUGAAAAAUAAAUGUCUGUUGGGAUCCUGUGGCCAUUUUUAGAUGCAAAUUCUUUGUGGGUUUCGUUAUCUCUUGUUGCCGUUGUUACUAAGUUCUCUGAGCAUCCUCUAGACUCUGGAUAUAAAUCCUUUGGCGGGUGAACAGCGGGCGACUCCCUGGUUCUGGACCACAGGGCGUGGAUGCUCGUAGAGCUGCUUCAGUGGCCUUUCUGCCAAGUUGACUUUCGUUGGUGGGGAACAUGGAAAUUGGAGGGAGAGGAGAUGAUGUAGGGGUAUCUUUUCUCCAGAUUGGUCCUCGCUGGGUGGACACGCCCCCUGUUUCUGACGUCAGGACUCAGCUUCCCACUCUUCCAUCCUCCGGCUACUCCCACGGUCCACGAGCAGGUUCCUUGCGCUUCCGUUACUGGCUUCUUUGGGGCUGGUGAGGUAGGAUACCUGUGUCCAACAGGAUACACAGAGCAGGUUUCUUACCUGCCAGUAGGCAGCAAGGGACAAGAUAAAUCUAGAAUUCAUUGCUAGCCGGUUCUCCAAGGCUCGGGGGCUGUCUGAGGUAGCUAGCAUAGUCAUUGGUCCUAAAGGACCCCAGCAAGGCCUAUCCUGGGAAUUUUCUACCCAACAUAACCUUCCAUUUUGCAGUAAGAGGUUCAUUCUGCCCAAGCUGCCAUGAGGUAAACAGCUUCCUCCGACACACUCUCCACUGUGAUUCUCGAGUGACUCUUACGGCAGAAAGCACUUUGCUGAGGAUAAUUGACUGUGUUCCAGGACUACCUGUAAAACAGAAACAUUGUAACAGAAGAGAACACUGCCCGGUGCUGGGAAUGCUGUCCCGGACAGAGGAACACUCCGGGUGUCAGCAAGGUUGGUGUCGUCUCAUGACAGGGAAGAGCAUCUUUUCCAAAACUCUUUGCUGGGUCCUGGUUGUUUGCUGAGGGUCUUUGGCGUUUACUGACCUGCUACCUGUCUUCAUUCUCUUGGCGCCACCCUUCUCGCCCCUGAUUUGGUAUACAGCCAAGAAUGACCUUGAAGUUCAUCUUCCUGUCCCCACCUCUCCUCCGGAGUAUUGGGAUUGUGGAUAUGACUCACCAUACCCACUUAUAUGCAGUGCUGGGAAUCGAACCCCAGGCUUGGAUACAUGCUAGGGAAGCACUCUAUCAACUGAGCUACAUCCCCAGUCCCCAAGGAAAAUGGUAAAUGCUCUUAAUAAAAACAAGAGGUCAUUAGAAUUCUA
rnacentral:sRNA from 1 species